UACGUAGGGUGCGAGCGUUAAUCGGAAUUACUGGGCGUAAAGCGUGCGCAGGCGGUUCGUUGUGUCGGUGGUGAAAGCCCCGGGCUUAACCUGGGAAUGGCCAUGGAAACUGGCGAACUGGAGUGUGGCAGAGGGGGGUGGAAUUCCGCGUGUAGCAGUGAAAUGCGUAGAGAUGCGGAGGAACACCGGUGGCGAAGGCGGCUUCCUGGACAGUGACUGACGCUGAGACGCGAAAGCGUGGGGAGCAAACAGG
rnacentral:rRNA from 1 species